rnacentral:rRNA from 1 species
CAAGUCGAACGAACCUUUCGGGGUUAGUGGCGGACGGGUGAGUAACGCGUGAGAAUCUGCCCUCAGGAGGGGGAUAACGACUGGAAACGGUCGCUAAUACCCCAUAUGCCGAGAGGUGAAAUGAAUUUCGCCUGAGGAUGAGCUCGCGUCUGAUUAGCUAGUUGGUGGGGUAAAGGCCUACCAAGGCGACGAUCAGUAGCUGGUCUGAGAGGAUGAUCAGCCACACUGGGACUGAGACACGGCCCAGACUCCUACGGGAGGCAGCAGUGGGGAAUUUUCCGCAAUGGGCGAAAGCCUGACGGAGCAACGCCGCGUGAGGGAUGAAGGCCUCUGGGCUGUAAACCUCUUUUCUCAAGGAAGAAGAUCUGACGGUACUUGAGGAAUAAGCCACGGCUAAUUCCGUGCCAGCAGCCGCGGUAAUACGGGAGUGGCAAGCGUUAUCCGGAAUUAUUGGGCGUAAAGCGUCCGCAGGCGGCCUUGUAAGUCUGUCGUUAAAGCGUGGAGCUUAACUCCAUUUCAGCGGUGGAAACUACAAGGCUUGAGUGUGGUAGGGGCAGAGGGAAUUCCCAGUGUAGCGGUGAAAUGCGUAGAUAUCGGGAAGAACACCAGUGGCGAAGGCGCUCUGCUGGGCCAUAACUGACGCUCAUGGACGAAAGCCAGGGGAGCGAAAGGGAUUAGAUACCCCUGUAGUCCUGGCCGUAAACGAUGAACACUAGGCGUCGGGGGAAUCGACCCCCUCGGUGUCGUAGCCAACGCGUUAAGUGUUCCGCCUGGGGAGUACGCACGCAAGUGUGAAACUCAAAGGAAUUGACGG